CAGGCUAACCAGCCACAUAUACUGGAUUAUAUUCCUGAGCUAAACUCCACAGCCUUCAAUUUUAUUAUAUAAUUAUCCAACCAAACUCAUUCAUCUUUAUUUUUCAACCAUCUUACCCAUGGACCCCAGUUUAAACGCAGCUCUGCUAUGAGAAGUGCUGCCCAGGCACUCUCCACUUGGAAAAAUUCAUGGUUUCACAGUUUCAUCUGUGCUCAAACUCUGUUUUCUUAGUGUAGAGGAUGCAUGGCAGAAAUCCCAGCCCCAGUCAGUGGCACAGGUCUGUGUUAGGCUAUGCUGAGAUGGAGACAGCUGCGUUAUCACAGGCAACUGUACCUGAGGGACCAAGAAAGAGAAAAUAAACCUCUGAUUUGAUAUGAAGGUUGUGUAGCUAGAUGUAGCCUCCAUCACCAAUGUGACACAUCAUUAGGCUGCAUACAGGGCUUUGUGGUGUGGCUCACUGGAUAUGUGGCUUUAUUGCCAAGUAUAAACAUUAAGAGUUAGUAAAUAAAAACAACAGCGGAAACAACUUCUCCCCAGAAGCUAAUGAGACAUCAGGAAUAUAUCCCUGGAAACUGGAGCCCAGGGGAAGGCUUUUGCCAGAACUGCCAAUUUUCCAAUGCUGUUGUCCCAUCCUUUUUCUCUUCAGGUCAAAGCCUGAGCUUGGCCUUGCCUGUUUCUGUCCAUAGUGUGAAACUCUCCAGCCGUGUGUGCUGGGGAGGGCAGCCGUGCUGAAUGUGAGCCCUCCUCUCCAUAUGUUACUAUGGUGUGUAUGUAAUCCAUGUGUUAUACUGGGACAGUCUCUCUGAUUAGCAUAACCCUGCCCCUGGGAGGGGGUUACCUUAUAAAUAUGCUGCUUUUAUCUAUACUCCUUAUCUUUAUUUCCUAAGGGAUUGCAGGUACUUGCAUGUUCUGUGGGCAUCGAGAGCAGGUAAUAGCUAAAAAAGGUUACAGUAGGAAACUUUCCUCCUGAUUUAGCAGUAUUCAUGUUUGCUGUCUGCUGGGCUGGGGCUGGGGGGAGGGAAGGGAGAGGUGGCAGAUGCUGCAGAGCAUGAAGCUGCUGUCUCGCCAGCUUGCUUUCAUCUUAGAGAAGGGAGAGAGAUGGGAGAGAAGACCUCAUGCUGCCUUUCUUCCUUAGAGGCCUCUUGCAGAAGGAGUCCUUCUGGUGCUGCUGUCCCAGCCUCAGCCUGCUGGACAUGAGGGCUCUGUCGUGUAGGAGGCUGGAACAGAAACACGGAUCUUUGUGGAGUUCAGUCUGUGCUCUGGGCAAGCAACUGCUCCCACUCCUCACGUGCAGCGUGGCUGGGAUGAAUGCACAGCAGGAGCAGCUAGGGAGAUGUUGUGUGCUGUGCCAUGCAAGAGGUGUGAAAGCAGGAGCCGCUCAGCGGGGCAAUGCAGUUGUGUUGCAGCACUCACAGGUAUGUGACAGAAGGGGUGCUCUGUCCUGGCUUGUUCCACUGGAAGAAAUGCUCUGCAGAGAGGUGGUGGCAAUUUCUGCAGGACAGGCAUCAAUCCAUGCUGACUAGUUCAUUGGAAGGAGCCUCCUGGAGCAGAGCACAUGGAAACCCCAGGACACAGAACAGAAGGGGAAGUCGAGGUGGGUCUGGUCAGGAAGAGGGGGUGAGCAGUGGCAGAAAAAGUUGCUGCAUCUGAUGGUGGAGGUGCUGAGCUGUGACCAUGCUGGUAAAAACCCACCAGGCUCCCAGCAUUGUUGUACCUUCAGAGGCUUCUCUCAUGGAUGCUGUCACACAUGGCCACAGUUCAGGCCAUUCUAAUGGCAGUGUUACUUCUCCUUACCUUGUGUCUCCACUUGCUGCUAUAUAGGCUCUCUCCAAGCAGAGACCAGCUGACUUUAUCUUCCCAGAUAUUUCUUAAGAUCUCUCCCACUCUAUCUUUUAUCCCUGACCACAAGCAGCACUUGGAACAAUUAACACCUUAUGCUCCUAACAUCUUAUGGUUUACAAGGCAGCUGGUUACUAGGGCAACAGCUGUACUUCUUUUCUUUCAGUCUAUUGACUGAAAAUCAACAUUUUAUAUUAAAGGAAAAGAAAAAUUCUCUCUAGCCACAGUGAGUUACAGCAUCAUCUCUCCUGUAAUCAAGAUAUUGCUGAAUUAUGGUGCUAUAAACAAACACUUCUGAUAUAACCACAAACACUGUGGGACAUGUAACACACUGGCAGUAUAUUUCAGGUGACAAACUCAUUUAUUGUGGGGAGUGGAGGGAGAAAAACACCUUUCCAGAAGCCGCUACCAGGAAUUACUGCAAAGAAUGACCAGAGCUUAAGGAUACAGAAGCAAAGUAAUUCUACCAACCUGACCAGAAUAAAGCACUUAAAGUAUGAAGAAGAUCCGAGCAGUACCAGUAGCUCAGAAGGUGGCUGCUGUGUCACUUUGGUCAGCAGGAUUGGAAGAGAGCCAUCAUCUGCUUCCUCGAUGGUCUGCCAGCCCUUGUGUUUGGAAAGGCAAAUGUGAAAGGAAGCUCUUGAGCACUCUACUGUGCGAGUUCCUCAACUGAUGGCUGUGUUUCUCCUCCUCAUUCUACACGUUUUCAAAUACUUUUCAUUCUGGGAAUAAAUCUGAGUGCAUAACAAUCAUGUUCAGCAUAUGAUAACCAGAGACAAUUGUAUGUAUUCAAGCAGCCACAUGGAAAAUAAAUGAGCUGACAGAAAGAGCACAAGAUGACCCAGAGACCACAGUUACCAUGUCCACAGUAAGACCAAAUAACUUUUC